CCUACGGGCGGCAGCAGUAAGGAAUCUUCCACAAUGGGCGCAAGCCUGAUGGAGCAACGCCGCGUGCAGGAUGAAGGCCCUCGGGUCGUAAACUGCUUUUAUGAGUGAAGAAUAUGACGGUAACUCAUGAAUAAGGGUCGGCUAACUACGUGCCAGCAGCCGCGGUCAUACGUAGGACCCAAGCGUUAUCCGGAAUUACUGGGCUUAAAGAGUUGCGUAGGUGGCAUAGUAAGUGGAGCGUGAAAACGUGUGGCUCAACCAUACAGCCGCGUUCUAAACUACUAGGCUAGAGUGCGAGAGAGGUAGAUGGAAUUUCUAGUGUAGGAGUGAAAUCCGUAGAUAUUAGAAGGAACACCGAUGGCGUAGGCAGUCUACUGGCUCGUUUCUGACACUAAGGCACGAAAGCGUGGGGAGCAAACCGGAUUAGAUACCCGUGUAGUC
rnacentral:rRNA from 1 species